GUACAGUGAAUACAAAUCAAAACUAACUUCUUUAAUCAAAUGCUUAUCACUCAGUACCUAAUCAACUACUGUUACAUAGGGAUUCAGUCUAGCACACAGCUAGAAGCCAACUGAUCAUGAUGUUUCAUUUCAAUUCAAAUUCAAGAGCUAUAUUGAGGCGAACUGGAGAUGUGUACCUGGUAUUAUAGUGAAAUAGAAAGGGAGAAGAGGA
rnacentral:lncRNA from 1 species